rnacentral:rRNA from 1 species
UACGGGGGGGGCGAAGCGUUGUUCGGAAUUACUGGGCGUAAAGGGCGCGUAGGCGGCCUUCUAAGUCAGACGUGAAAUCCCUCGGCUCAACCGAGGAACUGCGUCUGAUACUGGAAGGCUUGAAUCCGGGAGAGGGAUGUGGAAUUCCAGGUGUAGCGGUGAAAUGCGUAGAUAUCUGGAGGAACACCGGUGGCGAAGGCGGCAUCCUGGACCGGUAUUGACGCUGAGGCGGCGAAAAGCUAGGGGAGCCAAACGGGG